GAAAUGCGAUACUUGGUGUGAAUUGCAGAAUCCCGUGAACCAUCGAGUCUUUGAACGCAUCUUGCGCUCCUUGGUAUUCCGAGGAGCAUGCCUGUUUGAGUGUCAUUUAACUUCUCAACCACACAUCAGAUGUGUGGCUUGGAUGUGGGGGUUGUUUGCAGGCUUCUAAAGAGGUCGGCUCCCCUGAAAUCUAUUAGUGGUAUCUGAGCUACUGCUAUCGGUGUGAUAAACUAUCUAUGCCUUUGGUAUGCUGCAUGAACAGAUUACGCUGCUCAUAACAAAGAUCAAAUUUGACACAUUUGACCUCAAAUCAGGUAGGACUACCCGCUGAACUUAA
rnacentral:misc_RNA from 1 species